GGAUUGUGACUUUCAUGCUCCUCCCACAUGUAACAGAUAUGGAUGAGUUUACUUCGCAUUAUACAUUCCAUCUAGCUAUUGAUAUUUGUUUGACUCUGUGAAAAAACAUGUUUCUGCCACGUGUUGUGACUGUACAUGUUACUCCUGUGACUCAUUUUGACCCUCAGAGUAUAAAUUGUCUGAUGCCUUGACUUAAGCUGGCUAUUCAAUGAGACUUUAGUCUGCCUCAUUCUCCCAGGGUGUGUCGUGUUCAUGCCACAGUGUGCACGUGGAGGUGAGAAAACAACUUCUGGGAGUCUGUGCUCUUCUUCUAGCAUGUGGAUCCAUGAAAUUGAAUGGAGUCAGACUAAGAGGCAAAAAAACAUUACUAUGGAAAUGAAGCACUGCUGAGCAGCAGAAGAUACACGCUUCGAGAUGAUUACACAUUGGUUUAGUCCCUUUCAAAGCAGUACUAGCUGAAUGUGGCAGUGCAUAUGCUCAGUCCUUCCAACUCUGGAUGUUGAGGCAGGUAAGUCAUGGAUUUGAGGACAGCCUAGGCUACAUAGAGAGAACUUGUCUCAAUACAAAUAAGCAACAAACAAUAAUGCCCUGAUUCUGGAGCUCAGAUUUGCUUGGAACUUAUUAUGAAAACUGGCCUCACACUCACGGCAGUCCUCCUUCUUCAGCCUAUGUGCUGGGACUUCAAGAUACAUUGCCAAGCCCAGACUCUAAAUUUGAGAGGAUUAGGAAAUUUCUGCAGAUGAAAUAAAAGCUACACACACACACACACACACACACACACACACACACACACACACACCACUUUCUCUGUAAUCCUGAAAGGCCCAUUGACUACUAAAGCAAGUCUAUGGAGCUGUGGCUUUUUCUGGACAAACAUAUGCUGAUCUUUUUUCUGGAGCAAGUGCUGCAGAAGAGCUUACUGAAUUGAAAUAGGAUAUAAACUUGAUUACUGAACAAAGAGUCCAGUACUCCAGAGAUUUGUAGAGAUUAACUGCUGAUGGAUUUUCUAAAACUGUAGUGGAGAUAUGAAUCUUUUAUCACAUUACCAGAGCCAGAGAAUGUAGCCUCUACCCCGGAAGCACUAAAUGUUUAGUUCGAAGAACAGGGAAACUGUCACAGGGAUGGAAAUGCAAUAUUUGACAGAAUCAAGAUUCUAGAUGAUUUCGAUGAGCAAGACUUGGAACCAAAAUUAAAUACGGGUGUAAAGAUUUGUGAAGUAUUUUGUGAAGUAAGCAAAAAAAAACCAUUCAGGUCUAAUAAAAUAAGAGAGUCCUUGAACGCAGAGACUGCUAUUGGCAGUCACCAGAAUAGCCAAUGUGGUCCUCACACUCAGGUGUGAGAUCUUUUCGUGUUUUGGAAGUCAUGUAUACAAGAGCUGGGAGCCAGACUGCUUUGGGGAGCUUUCCUUCCCCACAUGGCAACCAUGGGCAAGCCUCUUCAUGACCCUCUAAGACUGGUUUGGACUCACUGGUCUGAACAUAAAUAACAUCCGUAGCUGCCUUGAAUGUUUGGCUCAGAUAGACCAGUCUACAUUUGGAGAUGACUCAAGCCGUGUCAAAUAAACCUGAGAGCCUCAGAUUCCGGACUCAGAAUCUCACCAUCUGGUCAAAAACACACAUGGAGG
rnacentral:lncRNA from 1 species